rnacentral:lncRNA from 1 species
UCCAAUCGACCCUCAGCUCAGUGAAGGAAAGGAAAAACAAAACAAAAACAAAAGAGCAAGUUAAACCAUGGCACCAAAUUAAAAACCAAAAUAAAACCUUGAUCUUCUUACAAGGAAUCUAGCGCAUAUGGGAGAGCCUCAGGAUCAUCUAUAUAUUCAGAUUUAUACCAAAAACUAAAAAGAGGAACAUAAUCAAUCUUAAUCAGCUGUAAGAAACUGCUCCUAUCUUCAAAACGUCUUGAACUCCUCUCUUUCCAUGCUGUCCACCAGAGACAAUUUUCCCCCUGUCUUUGUUUCAGCAGCAGUUCCUUCUUUGUUCCAGCUUGUCAACACAUCAGGCUGUCCACCAGAGACAAUUUUCCACCAGUCUAUGUUUCAGCAGCAGUUCCUUCUUUGUUCCAGCUUGUCAACACAUCAGAAAGUCUACCUGGCAUUGCCCAUCUAAUGCCUCUAACGUUGAUGAACAAAUACCAAAGUUGACUAGUAAUCUUCAUCGGGGGUAAUAAGUACACAUGAGCCUGAAAUGGAAAAAAAUUAAAGCAGCUAACC